rnacentral:rRNA from 1 species
GACGAACGCUGGCGGCGUGCUUAACACAUGCAAGUCGAACGGAAAGGCCCUGCUUUUGUGGGGUGCUCGAGUGGCGAACGGGUGGGUAACACGUGAGUAACCUGCCCUUGACUUUGGGAUAACUUCAGGAAACUGGGGCUAAUACCGGAUAGGAGCUCCUGCUGCAUGGUGGGGGUUGGAAAGUUUCGGCGGUUGGGGAUGGACUCGCGGCUUAUCAGCUUGUUGGUGGGGUAGUGGCUUACCAAGGCUUUGACGGGUAGCCGGCCUGAGAGGGUGACCGGCCACAUUGGGACUGAGAUACGGCCCAGACUCCUACGGGAGGCAGCAGUGGGGAAUAUUGCACAAUGGGCGGAAGCCUGAUGCAGCAACGCCGCGUGCGGGAUGACGGCCUUCGGGUUGUAAACCGCUUUCGCCUGUGACGAAGCGUGAGUGACGGUAAUGGGUAAAGAAGCACCGGCUAACUACGUGCCAGCAGCCGCGGUGAUACGUAGGGUGCGAGCGUUGUCCGGAUUUAUUGGGCGUAAAGGGCUCGUAGGUGGUUGAUCGCGUCGGAAGUGUAAUCUUGGGGCUUAACCCUGAGCGUGCUUUCGAUACGGGUUGACUUGAGGAGGGUAGGGGAGAAUGGAAUUCCUGGUGGAGCGGUGGAAUGCGCAGAUAUCAGGAGGAACACCAGUGGCGAAGGCGGUUCUCUGGGCCUUUCCUGACGCUGAGGAGCGAAAGCGUGGGGAGCGAACAGGCUUAGAUACCCUGGUAGUCCACGCUGUAAACGGUGGGUACUAGGUGUGGGGUCCAUUCCACGGGUUCCGUGCCGUAGCUAACGCUUUAAGUACCCCGCCUGGGGAGUACGGCCGCAAGGCUAAAACUCAAAGGAAUUGACGGGGCCCCGCACAAGCGGCGGAGCAUGCGGAUUAAUUCGAUGCAACGCGUAGAACCUUACCUGGGUUUGACAUGGAUCGGGAGCGCUCAGAGAUGGGUGUGCCUCUUUUGGGGUCGGUUCACAGGUGGUGCAUGGCUGUCGUCAGCUCGUGUCGUGGGAUGUUGGGUUAAGUCCCGCAACGAGCGCAACCCUUGUUCACUGUUGCCAGCACGUUAUGGUGGGGACUCAGUGGAGACCGCCGGGGUCAACUCGGAGGAAGGUGGGGAUGACGUCAAGUCAUCAUGCCCCUUAUGUCCAGGGCUUCACGCAUGCUACAAUGGCUGGUACAGAGAGUGGCGAGCCUGUGAGGGUGAGCGAAUCUCGGAAAGCCGGUCUCAGUUCGGAUUGGGGUCUGCAACUCGACCUCAUGAAGUCGGAGUCGCUAGUAAUCGCAGAUCAGCAACGCUGCGGUGAAUACGUUCCCGGGGCU